rnacentral:rRNA from 1 species
UACGUAGGGAGCAAGCGUUGUCCGGAAUCAUUGGGCGUAAAGCGCGCGUAGGUGGCCCCAUAAGUCCGCUGUGAAAGUCAAAGGCUCAACCUUUGAAAGCCGGUGGAUACUGUGGGACUAGAGUACGGAAGAGGCGAGUGGAAUUCCUGGUGUAGCGGUGGAAUGCGCAGAUAUCAGGAGGAACACCAAUAGCGAAGGCAGCUCGCUGGGACGUUCACUGACACUGAGGCGCGAAAGCGUGGGGAGCGAACAGG